rnacentral:rRNA from 1 species
UACGAAGGGAGCUAGCGUUGUUCGGAAUCACUGGGCGUAAAGCGCACGUAGGCGGAUGUGUCAGUCAGGGGGUGAAAUCCCGGAGCUCAACUUCGGAACUGCCUUUGAUACAGCACGUCUUGAGUCCGAUAGAGGUGGGUGGAAUUCCUAGUGUAGAGGUGAAAUUCGUAGAUAUUCGCAAGAACACCAGUGGCGAAGGCGGCUCACUGGUCCGGUACUGACGCUGAGGUGCGAAAGCGUGGGGAGCAAACAGG